GCAGAUGGGCCACCAGCUGGAAACCUGUUUCAGAAGCAUGCUCUGAGUUCAGUGCAUAUAAAGCCGGGCAUUACGAAGUGCAUACUCUCAUGGGAAUGAGAUGUACUUACAUUCAGAACCCUAUGCUCACAUUUCAGACAAAGCACCAUUGAUCCUACCAAGUACUGAAUGGCAAUUAUUCCCUACCAGAAGAAAUGUGUAGUACUUUCUCCAUCUUGAAGAAUUCUACUUAUGAAGAUGCUCCAGACAUCAUCACCUCAAUCUGGUUCUGCUUUGGGCAAACCCAGUACAAAGUCGAAGGAUGAGUAUUCAUUCAUCUGCUCCACAAGACUUUAAGUCACUGCUUUGUACACAGCUGCCUCAGUGAAAU